UUGGGGAGGAUCAUAUCUCGGAUUUGUUUAAAUUAUUCCAGAAACAGCAAGUGAUCUCAACCUUUUCAUCUUCAGUGCAUUAGGCUAACGUGAAAAUUUAUUCCUGGUGACUUAUCAUCAUCAUUACUGAUGCAAUCUUUAUCUUUGCUGUUUAUUUAUCUAUUUAUUUAUUAUGACUAUCAUGAUGGUUAUUAAAUACACCAACUCUUCGAUACAUUGUGAUUAUUAUUUGCUUUUCACGAACUUUUUCGGUAAACCGAAAUAAACGUGACGUAAUUUGACACAGAAUCGGCAUCUAUCGCGAGCUCGUUUACACCAUGAAGAUAUUCCGGUCAAAGGCUAUUCACGGUACUUCACAAUGCAAAGCGACCAAGUGGUGUAACUCCUGCUGCUCGUGUGAGUUGGAAUUUGCCGUUCUCUGCCAAGUAUGUGGUACAGGUGCUGAUCUCUCAUCAACUGAGAAAUACUACAUAUUAAGACACACCAAAAUAUUCCUGAGGAAAACAAAACUAACAGAGAUAAUAUAAGAAAAGGGAAAGAAGAAAAAUAGAUCCAGGGGAUAUAGACUAUACAAUAGUCUAAAACCCUAUAAAAA